GACGAACGCUGGCGGCGUGCUUAACACAUGCAAGUCGAGCGGAAAGGCUCCUUCGGGGGUACUCGAGCGGCGAACGGGUGAGUAACACGUGAGUAAUCUGCCCUGUGCUCUGGGAUAGCCACCGGAAACGGUGAUUAAUACCGGAUACGACCACUAUAGGCCUCUGUUGGUGGUGGAAAGUUUUUUCGGCAUGGGAUGUGCUCGCGGCCUAUCAGCUUGUUGGGGAGGUAAUGGCUCACCAAGGCUUUGACGGGUAGCCGGCCUGAGAGGGUGACCGGUCACACUGGGACUGAGACACGGCCCAGACUCCUACGGGAGGCAGCAGUGGGGAAUAUUGGACAAUGGGCGGAAGCCUGAUCCAGCAACGCCGCGUGAGGGAUGACGGCCUUCGGGUUGUAAACCUCUUUCAGUACCGACGAAGCGAAAGUGACGGUAGGUACAGAAGAAGGACCGGCCAACUUCGUGCCAGCCGCCGCCGUAAUAC
rnacentral:rRNA from 1 species